rnacentral:rRNA from 1 species
GACGAACCGUGCGAACGUUGUUCGGAAUCACUGGGCAUAAAGGGCGCGUAGGCGGCCUUCUAAGUCGAACGUGAAAUCCCUGGGCUCAACCCAGGAACUGCGUCCGAUACUGGAAGGCUUGAAUCCGGGAGAGGGAUGCGGAAUUCCAGGUGUAGCGGUGAAAUGCGUAGAUAUCUGGAGGAACACCGAUGGCGAAGGCAGGUCACUGAGCCGCAACUGACGCUGAGGAGCGAAAGCAUGGGGAGCGAACAGG